GAAAGUCAACGGGCGGCGGGCGGGGCUGGGCGCGCGCCGCCGCCGAUUUCAAAUCGGCGCGUGCGGCCGGCGACCGUUAACGGCUGCCUGCGGCCGGCGUUACCCCGCUGUGAGGCGCCGGCCGCUGCGCGAGCGCGCUAGGUCCGCGCCCCCGCUCGGAAAAGCUGCCCCUGCGGUCGGGGUGGCACCCCCCCGCUCGCACACGGUCCCGGAGCUCCCCACCGAGCCCCGAGGGCACCAGAAGCGGCCUCCUCGGCUCGCAAGAAGCGGGGAAAAGCCGCCUUCCCCGGGCCCGGCAGGCAAGACUUUUGACAUCUACUUCAGUGGGAGCAGAAACAGACCUUCUGUCAGUUACUAAUCACAGAAGUUCAAAAAAACGCUUUCACUGGAUGUGGAAGCCCAGCAAGGCCCCCGCCCCAGUCCACUUCCAGGGGUCUCCCAGCUCUGCCUAGCCAAGGUGCAGCUGCCCAUGGACUUAGGAGGGAGGAGCCCAGCCUUGGGGCCCAGCAGCUGGUGACAUUUCCCUUGCCCUGCCUGUCUGCAGCACAGCUCCAUGGAAGCAGCAACAAGCUCUGCGAUGGGCCAGAAGGAUUUGCACAGCCUCACCUCCUUGAAAGGCAGAAGGCGAAGGGGCAGCUUGGCAGCAGCUGUAGCCCAGUGUUUAUCCCUUGGAAUGAUGUGCACAGCUGGGGCCUAUCCUAGCUGGGUUGUGGUCCGAGGUGCGACAGUCCAGUUCGUGCUAGGGGUUGCCUGGGCCCUUAAUCCCAGACACCUCUCAUCUCACUCCCUCCUCCUGGGCUAUGCAGGACUCAACCUCCUGAACCUGCUAGCUCUCUGCUGCCUGCUAGCCAUCCUCAGCAGCUGCAGCGCCUUGCUGCUCGACUUCCUGGGGCUGCCGCAGGGCAGGGUAGCCGCCCCCCUGCUGCAUGGCUUAGCUGCCCUGUUUGCUGCCAUUGCAGUGGUCACAAGCUCCUGCCUCUUGACACUGACAAGGCGCAACCUCCGCACCAAGCAGGAGCUGCAGCCUUUGGGCCUCUCCUCAGUCUUUGGCUCAAGCGUCUUCUUCUGUGUCAUUGCUUUUGCCCUAGCAGCCACUGCGACCGGCUGGAGCUGCGCUGCCUUGGCACAGGUCGAACCUGCUGUGGCCCUCUGCCAGAGCAGGGUCAAGCAGCAACAGACAAGCUCAUGCCCCACACCUGAGGGAGAUGUCAGUAGCAAGGCGCACUGCUUUCCUUCCUCACUGCAACAAGAGACCAGACUACUACCCAUGGCUGCAAGCAGUCCCUUCAUCCAGGGGGAAAUUGAACUCAAGACAGAAGAACGUCCCCCCUUCAAGCAAGAAGAAAUUGAACUCCAAAUGGAGGAAGGUGUCAACUUCAUCCACAAGGAAACAGACCUCCAAACAGAGGAAAGUGUCUCUUCCAAACAGGCAGAGAUGCAAGCCCAAAUGUCACAGUAUCCUUAUCAUACAUAAGAAAACUUACCCCAAAAUGGAACAGCCUUCGAAGAAGUAAAGAAUGAAUCUGAAGUAGAGAGAAAUUCCCAUUAAUGAAGGAAAAGGCUAACUGACACAGGGAAGACCUUUUCUCUUCCUGGAGAUGCCAACUACGUUGCCCCAUGAAGCCUGCUCAAGUCAACUAUACGGACACUAGAUAAUAAAAGAUUUAUCAAGCAAGCCGUAUAAAUUAAAAUUUGAGCAAAAUUCUUGCUUUGCCAUGGGGGAGACUUAAGAUGUUAUGAUAAAUCAAAUUCUUAAAGUAAAUGGUUAGAAGAAACAUUAGGGCCUUCCUUACCUGAGAACAGGACUUAAAAUGUCUUCAAAGGAAGGUAAUAUCCUUUUCAGAAGAGGUGCAGCAGCAAAAUGAGAAAAAAAAGCAUGUCCAAAUACUUGGUUAAGUUGCUUAAGGUUAGUCUUAGAAUAAGGGACAUGGGUCUUCAAAUAACCAGUUGAGUUUAGGUCUUAGAUUUGUAGGACCUAAAACAGUUAAUUAAGAUUAAAACAUCACUGACUUCUUAUUCUGGCUUUAUUUCCCUACUGAGGCAGGUCUGCAUAUUGGUAAUGUUACAGUAGGAUUAAGAGUGUAUUUUAUGUAUUUGUUUUGCAAAUAAAUAAAGUGUUCUGUUUUUCUUU